GAAAGAGCAGAAAGAGACACUCAGUGUGUUCCAACGCCUGGAGAUGACACAUACACAGCGCUGAACCUCAUGACUGUGUCCCCAGAAUAUGACACACUGCAAAAUAUUAAAAGCUCUGCCAGUGACACUUACACCACCCUGAACCCUGCAACCAUGUGCUCUGAUUAUGAUACACUGAGGG